rnacentral:tRNA from 1 species
GCGUCUGUAGCUCAGUGGAUAGAGCGUUGGACUCCGACUCCAAAGGCCGCAGGUUCAAAUCCUGUCAGACGCACCA